rnacentral:hammerhead_ribozyme from 1 species
AUCCAGCUGAUGAGUCCCAAAUGGGACGAAACGCGCGUCCUCGAU